GACGAACGCUGGCGGCGUGCUUAACACAUGCAAGUCGAACGGAAAGGCCCUGCUUUUGUGGGGUGCUCGAGUGGCGAACGGGUGAGUAACACGUGAGUAACCUGCCCUUGACUUUGGGAUAACUUCAGGAAACUUGGGCUAAUACCGGAUAGGAGCUCCUGCUUCAUGGUGGGGGUUGGAAAGUUUCGGCGGUUGGGGAUGGACUCGCGGCUUAUCAGCUUGUUGGUUGGGUAGUGGCUUACCAAGGCUUUGACGGGUAGCCGGCCUGAGAGGGUGACCGGCCACAGUGGGACUGAGAUACGGACCAGACUCCUACGGGAGGCAGCAGUGGGGAAGAUUGCAAAAUGGGCGGAAGCCUGAUGCAGCAACGCAGCGUGCGGGAUGACGGCCUUCGGGUUGUAAACCGCUUUCGCCUGUGACGAAGCGUGAGUGACGGUAAUGGGUAAAGAAGCACCGGAUAACUACGUG
rnacentral:rRNA from 1 species